GUGACUGCGUACCUUUUGUAUAAUGGGUCAGCGACUUAUAUUCUGUAGCAAGGUUAACCGAAUAGGGGAGCCGAAGGGAAACCGAGUCUUAACUGGGCGUUAAGUUGCAGGGUAUAGACCCGAAACCCGGUGAUCUAGCCAUGGGCAGGUUGAAGGUUGGGUAACACUAACUGGAGGACCGAACCGACUAAUGUUGAAAAAUUAGCGGAUGACUUGUGGCUGGGGGUGAAAGGCCAAUCAAACCGGGAGAUAGCUGGUUCUCCCCGAAAGCUAUUUAGGUAGCGCCUCGUGAAUUCAUCUCCGGGGGUAGAGCACUGUUUCGGCAAGGGGGUCAUCCCGACUUACCAACCCGAUGCAAACUGCGAAUACCGGAGAAUGUUAUCACGGGAGACACACGGCGGGUGCUAACGUCCGUCGUGAAGAGGGAAACAACCCAGACCGCCAGCUAAGGUCCCAAAGUCAUGGUUAAGUGGGAAACGAUGUGGGAAGGCCCAGACAGCCAGGAUGUUGGCUUAGAAGCAGCCAUCAUUUAAAGAAAGCGUAAUAGCUCACUGGUCGAGUCGGCCUGCGCGGAAGAUGUAACGGGGCUAAACCAUGCACCGAAGCUGCGGCAGCGACGCUGAUGCGUUGUUGGGUAGGGGAGCGUUCUGUAAGCCUG
rnacentral:rRNA from 1 species